GCCUCUAUGGAUCAAUGUGAUAUCACCUCCGCUCUAUGGGAGCUUUCUUUCAGCAUAUUUCGGAGGAGACGUAGGUUCAACUCCUACUGGGGGCG